rnacentral:rRNA from 1 species
UACGUAGGUGGCGAGCGUUGUUCGGAUUCAUUGGGCGUAAAGGGUGCGUAGGUGGCGCCGUAAGUCGGGUGUGAAAUUUCGGAGCUUAACUCCGAAACUGCAUUCGAUACUGCGGUGCUUGAGGACUGGAGAGGAGACUGGAAUUCAUGGUGUAGCAGUGAAAUGCGUAGAGAUCAUGAGGAAGACCAGUGGCGAAGGCGGGUCUCUGGACAGUUCCUGACACUGAGGCACGAAGGCCAGGGGAGCAAACGGG